CCGUAGGAAAGUUGAAAAGAACUUUGAAGAGAGAGUUCAAGAGUACGUGAAACCGUUCAGGGGUAAACCUGAGAAACCCAAAAGAUCGAAUGGGGAGAUUCAUCGUCAGCUCAUUUUGUAUAUGUAUGAGUUAUGAUGCGAGUUACUACUUGUAGUAUCGCUUGUACAUUCUCAUAUAUUUUGUUGCAUUAUGUUGUCGGCGUGCACUUCUCCUCUAAUAGAACAUCGCGACCCGUCGAGUGUCGGCCUACGGCCCAAAUGGUAGCCUUUAAUAUAUUUAUUAUAUUAAAGACCUUUGGUGUAUUCUGGCCGGCUACUCGGCGGUACUCGUAUGAUAUAAAGCCGCAAGUAUAUGCGUUCAUUACUGUCGCAAGCGAGGCUAAUUUCUGGUAAUACGGACCUAGUUGCCGUCGCUAGUAUUGGCCAGCUGUUGGUUGUUACAGUAUUUUAGAACUGGCUUAAAAUUAUUAUCGGUCAGCGAUGCUACUGCUUUGGGUACUUUCAGGACCCGUCUUGAAACACGGACCAAGGAGUCUAACAUGUACGCGAGUCAUUGGGAUUUUUUUUUAAAUUAAACCUAAAGGCAGAAUGAAAGUAAAGGUUGUCCUUGCGUCAACCGAGGGAGGAUGAAAUGUAUUAUGAUAUAUUUCCGCACUCCCGGGGCGUCUCAUUCUUAUUACAAGAAGAGGCGCACUUAGAGCGUACACGUUGGGACCCGAA
rnacentral:rRNA from 1 species